rnacentral:rRNA from 1 species
CUCGUAGGCGGCCAACUAAGUCAGACGUGAAAUCCCUCGGCUUAACCGGGGAACUGCGUCUGAUACUGGAUGGCUUGAGUUUGGGAGAGGGAUGCGGAAUUCCAGGUGUAGCGGUGAAAUGCGUAGAUAUCUGGAGGAACACCGGUGGCGAAGGCGGCAUCCUGGACCAACACUGACGCUGAGUGAGAAGACACGGAGGGCAAACGGGA